GGCAUAUCAAACAUUGCUUUCAGCUGCCACUUCUUCAGAUUAUCUCUCAUCGUCGAUUACAUUUUUGUCUGGAACUCUGCGAUUCUGAACCUUCGUUGCACCAUGAACUUCUGGAGUGUCCUUUGCUGCACAGGUCUCUCACUUGUCCUGAUGGCCCAGGUCAUCAUGGCCUCUCCGACUGGAACAAGGCCGAUGUACGAAGCUUCCAGGCUUGAUUUUGAAAAUCCAUCGAGUUCGUUUUGGGCAAAGUUGAUCGGAUCCCAUCAUGCAGUACGAGCCAAACGUCAGAUGGCGCAUGCGCAGAUGAUCAUGUGUUCGCGCACCCCCCAGCUGUGUCGGUCUUCUUAUCGUAGUUCGUCCAGAAGGCGUCGCCCCUACCGGAGACCAGAAUCUUCCAAGUAUUAAUCCGGCGAACAACGAACUGGCCAGUUUUAUUGACUCGGGAAUUUACGUAACUGUCCGUUGAUCGAAGAUUACCGGGCACUGUAACGAAGGCUUUGGUGACGGCCAUCUUGACCAAGUCGGCGUCAAACUUACCAGAGCUGAACCUGUGAUACACGAAAACGUCUCGUGACCAAUCUGUGAUAGCUACUUGUGUGUGUUUAUUCAACAUGCAAUAUGAAUGGAGUGCAGAACUCUGAUUUUGUAUGGCGUUUCUACUACAGAAAAACUACAACCCUAGAGAACAUAAUUCACUUCAUCCAUCGACUCACGUCAAGCUGAUCGCGCGCAUGUAGGAAAUGACACUGGAAAUUCAUUCAUUAUUUCAUUUUAAUUUAUUUCCUUUUCACUAUGUGACGUCUUUUUUGUGUGUCUUGAGCUCUAUCUACAUGUCUUAUUUUGUCAUGAAUAAAUUUAUUAUUGUCUU